rnacentral:lncRNA from 1 species
CAGGUUAACAAGAACACCGGCCUCGGCCUGUCCUUGCUAAUCCUCGGGUCUUUUGUCAACUUGAGCGUCAACUUCUGCAGCCCAGCCGAGCGCUUGCUCCGUACAUGCGUCGAGUGUCUGAGACGCAUAUGAAUCCAGUCCACACCUACUUCUAUAUUCUACUACGAUUUUUUUAAAAGAAAAGAAGAUGUACUUCCUCUAGUGGUGACAAAUGGUGAUUUCCGAGAAAACAAAAGACGAAGGGAAGAUGGAAGUGGGAAUCAUGGGAGCCCAUAAGAGCAGGUUUAAUAACAGAGGCAAGUUCUUGGCUAUAAGACAAGCCACAGCAGCUCCUAACAGCCAAGCCAUACAGUGGUAAUCUUCCUGUUUAUCUCCACUUAAACGUAAAAGUAUUUUCUAUUCUUCAUGGAUCCCAGCUUCCCAUCUAUUUUUCAAUCAUCUCACGCCACCUCGUCUUGUGUAUGCACUUACCCCAUGCAAAGUUACUGCCAUGCUUUGAAGUCUAUGAGGAGCUUUGGAGUCUGUGAGGAGUUGAUCGAUGCAUGCAGCACCAAGCUCCCUUCUCUCUGAUCCCCUCUCCCAUCCAGCUCGACGACACAUUUAUUUACAUGGAAGUUUUAUGGUGUUCCAUCAAUAUUUGGAAUUAUUAGCUAGCCGGGCAUCUCACUAAGCCCAUGUGCAAUCAUAUGCUUGUGCGUCUGUACAAGAAAUACUAUAUGUUCAUGCUGAAUGAAUUGUAAGUUGCAUAGUGUGAAAGAAUAUUUAUAUUGCUAGUCUACUAUGCUGAAUGAAUUGUAAGUAUUUUUUAGCCCUACUCUACUAGCU